GAAAGAAUGAAAAGGUGAGCAAGGGAUAAAGAGGACAAAGGAAAGAUUUCAGUAUAAACUUCUGCUGCAUUUAGGUUGAAAUACUUGUUGCUACAAACACUGAAGCUAACUGCUGGUAUCUACAAUAAACUCCACAGUAAAGAGCCCACACCACCUCAAGUUUAAGUGAAUCAGGAACUUCCAAAGAACAUUUCACCUAUCUUCUGCAUUUAUCUUCAGAGAAGAUAAACUACCUUUUGGUGACACAUCCUUCUCUUUGUAUUGACUACAAGUGGAGCCCUGACAAGUGGCAGCUAA